GGUUGCCUCUCCAGAACAUUCAUAAACUUCAACUAAUGCAGAAUGCAGUCUGCGCAGGUAGUAAACAAUGCCAAAUAUAUGGCACAUGUAACACCACUACUGUGGGAGCUGCAUUGAAAUCAGCCUAUCAGCUUCUUAUAAGAACUUGGUAACUCAAAAAGGCUGUGUCAUAAAUCACAUUCUCCAACGAGGCACUUUUGCGGGCUGUAGAAAACACGCCUCACAGGCCAGCUCUGGUAAUCUGAGAUCCAAUCUUGAGGAAGGAAUAGUAGAGUGAAAAUGGAAAGAUGAAAUAGAAAUGGAAAAAGAAGGUCAAGGAGAAUCCAUGAGAUCCCUUAACAGCUACACCUCAAUUAAAGAAUUCUACCUUUUUCUGGAGAUUCAUUCAUCUUUACUUAAGACCCUCAUCUCAAAUCUCCACAUGAUCAUAGUUAAUUUUUGUGCACUGUAUACAUGGGUUUGGACAAUGGAUUUUGUUUUGGACAUAGAAUUUAAUUGCUUCCCUCAAUGGUUUCCUGUAACAAGCUGUGAAAAAGAGACUAUAAUAAAACAUUUACAAUUUUGAA